GACGAACGCUGGCGGCGUGCCUAAUACAUGCAAGUUGAGCGCUGAAGGUUGGUACUUGUACCAACUGGAUGAGCAGCGAACGGGUGAGUAACGCGUGGGGAAUCUGCCUUUGAGCGGGGGACAACAUUUGGAAACGAAUGCUAAUACCGCAUAAAAACUUUAAACACAAGUUUUAAGUUUGAAAGAUGCAAUUGCAUCACUCAAAGAUGAUCCCGCGUUGUAUUAGCUAGUUGGUGAGGUAAAGGCUCACCAAGGCGAUGAUACAUAGCCGACCUGAGAGGGUGAUCAGCCACAUUGGGACUGAGACACGGCCCAAACUCCUACGGGAGGCAGCAGUAGGGAAUCUUCGGCAAUGGACGAAAGUCUGACCGAGCAACGCCGCGUGAGUGAAGAAGGUUUUCGGAUCGUAAAACUCUGUUGGUAGAGAAGAACGUUGGUGAGAGUGGAAAGCUCAUCAAGUGACGGUAACUACCCAGAAAGGGACGGCUAACUACGUG
rnacentral:rRNA from 1 species